GUGGGGGAUAUUGCACAAUGGGCGAAAGCCUGAUGCAGCGACGCCGCGUGAGGGAAGACGGCCUUCGGGUUGUAAACCUCUGUCUUUGGGGACGAUAAUGACGGUACCCAAGGAGGAAGCUCCGGCUAACUACGUGCCAGCAGCCGCGGUAAUACGUAGGGAGCGAGCGUUGUCCGGAAUUACUGGGUGUAAAGGGAGCGUAGGCGGGAAUGCAAGUUGGAUGUGAAAACUCCGGGCUUAACCCGGAGACUGCAUUCAAAACUGUAUUUCUUGAGUGAUGUAGAGGCAGGCGGAAUUCCUAGUGUAGCGGUGAAAUGCGUAGAUAUUAGGAGGAACACCAGUGGCGAAGGCGGCCUGCUGGGCAUUUACUGACGCUGAGGCUCGAAAGUGUGGGGAGCAAACAGGA
rnacentral:rRNA from 1 species